GAUGAACGCUAGCUACAGGCUUAACACAUGCAAGUCGAGGGGCAGCAUGAAGUCAGCUUGCUGACUUUGAUGGCGACCGGCGCACGGGUGAGUAACGCGUAUCCAACCUUCCCCUUACUCAGGAAUAGCCCGUUGAAAGACGGAUUAAUGCCUGAUGUUCUCAUGUUGCCGCAUGGCGAUAUGAGCAAAGAUUCAUCGGUAAGGGAUGGGGAUGCGUAUGAUUAGCUUGUUGGCGGGGUAGCGGCCCACCAGGGCGACGAUCAUUAGGGGUCCUGAGAGGAAGGUCCCCCACACUGGAACUGAGACACGGUCCAG
rnacentral:rRNA from 1 species